GAUGAACGCUGGCGGCGUGCCUAAUACAUGCAAGUCGAGCGAACGGACGAGAAGCUUGCUUCUCUGAUGUUAGCGGCGGACGGGUGUGUAACACGUGGAUAACCUACCUAUAAGACUGGGAUAACUUCGGGAAACCGGAGCUAAUACCGGAUGAUAUUUUGAACCGCAUGGUUCAAAAGUGAAAGACGGUCUUGCUGUCACUUAUAGAUGGAUCCGCGCUGCAUUAGCUAGUUGGUAAGGUAACGGCUUACCAAGGCAACGAUGCAUAGCCGACCUGAGAGGGUGAUCGGCCACACUGGAACUGAGACACGGUCCAGACUCCUACGGGAGGCAGCAGUAGGGAAUCUUCCGCAAAGGGCGAAAGCCUGACGGAGCAACGCCGCGUGAGUGAUGAAGGUCUUCGGAUCGUAAAACUCUGUUAUUAGGGAAGAACAUAUGUGUAAGUAACUGUGCACACCUUGACGGUACCUAAUCAGAAAGCCACGGCUAACUACGUG
rnacentral:rRNA from 1 species